AGCAGCCGCGGUAAUUCCAGCUCCAAUAGCGUAUAUUAAAGUUGUUGCAGUUAAAAAGCUCGUAGUUGAAUUUCGGGAUCAAGUCGUCGGUCGUGCCUCGGUACGCACUGGUGACAUUGGUUUCUCCCUUCUGAAGAACCUUGAUGUCAUUAAUUUGGUGUCUUGGGGAAUCAGGACUGUUACUUUGAAAAAAUUAGAGUGUUUAAAGCAGGCUCACGCUUGAAUACAUUAGCAUGGAAUAAUGAAAUAGGACGUUUGAUUCUAUUUUGUUGGUUUCUAGGAUCGACGUAAUGAUUAAUAGGGAUAGUUGGGGGCAUUAGUAUUCAAUUGUCAGAGGUGAAAUUCUUGGAUUUAUUGAAGACUAACUACUGCGAAAGCAUUUGCCAAGGAUGUUUUCAUUAAUCAGUGAACGAAAGUUAGGGGAUCGAAGACGAUCAGAUACCGUCGUAG
rnacentral:rRNA from 1 species